rnacentral:tRNA from 1 species
AGUUAUUUGGCUGAAUGCUAAGCAAGUAUCUUGAAAAUACUCCAAAUAAGUUUAAUUCUUGUAAUAACUU